rnacentral:lncRNA from 1 species
CUUCUACUUAUUAAAAUAAAAUGUGUUGUAAAACAGUGUGCUGGGUUACACCAGCAGCAGCCUCAUACAUCUUGUGAUUACUGUUUCUCUUGAUGGCAUCAUUUUCUCUUGUGCUUGAUUUAAUCUUGUGUUGUUUUGCUCAUUGUGGCUCUAAAAGCAAUAAGCGAUACCAACACCUAUGCACCACACAGCCAGGUGUGUAGCAGGCUAUGCCACCUGGGUUUGUGUAAAUGCACUCUGUGAUGUCAAGGAUGCGAUUGCUUAAUGAUGCUUUUAUCAGAACGUAUCCUCAUUGUUGAGUGAUGAAGGAUUGUAGUUGCCUACCUUGUUAGAGAUGCUGUCUACUGGUUAUUUUGUUUUAUUCUGGUCCUCUAAGGUGUGUUCACUACUUCUAUUUGAUGGCAUUAGAAACCAAGGCUCAAUGUCAACUUGCCAUUCAAAGUCACUUUGCUAGUUGUGGUUUUUGUGGAUUUGAAUCCCUGCCUGGCUGGCUCCAAAGCCUAGUUUGUUUCAAAGACACUGAAGAGGAGCUGGGGUAUUUGAUCUGCAACAUCAAGGAUGAGCAGAUGGAUUGAAUAUGCAGACAUUUUCCUUGGCACCUUAGCUUUGGCAUCUUUUUAAAGAAUCCAGUGAUGAAGAUUCAUUAUGGUCACAGGUUCGACACUUGGAGCACAUUGGCAGUGUCAUAUCUGCCAUCAGAAAGGAGCACAUAGACAUCAACUUAUGGAAAGUCAGAUUUUACUCUUAAAAUUCCCUUAAAAUAAAGUAUUAGCUCUGUGUCUGUCCUGUGAUGUGCAUGCAGCUUCUAUCUUCAAGCUUGUAGUCACUUUUCCCUGCGGAGUGGCAUAGAUUGCUGCUUCUUUGGACCACAGUGCCUCUUCCGUUUCUGUAAUUGUUUU